rnacentral:rRNA from 1 species
GAUGAACGCUAGCGACAGGCUUAACACAUGCAAGUCGAGGGGCAGCAUGAUUUGUAGCAAUACAGAUUGAUGGCGACCGGCGCACGGGUGAGUAACGCGUAUGCAACUUACCUAUCAGAGGGGGAUAGCCCGGCGAAAGUCGGAUUAAUACCCCAUAAAACAGGGGUCCCGCAUGGGAAUAUUUGUUAAAGAUUCAUCGCUGAUAGAUAGGCAUGCGUUCCAUUAGGCAGUUGGCGGGGUAACGGCCCACCAAACCGACGAUGGAUAGGGGUUCUGAGAGGAAGGUCCCCCACAUUGGUACUGAGACACGGACCAAACUCCUACGGGAGGCAGCAGUGAGGAAUAUUGGUCAAUGGCCGAGAGGCUGAACCAGCCAAGUCGCGUGAAGGAAGAAGGAUCUAUGGUUUGUAAACUUCUUUUAUAGGGGAAUAAAG